rnacentral:rRNA from 1 species
UGAGAGUUGUUGCUGGCCUCUAGGGGCAUGUGCACGCUUCACUAGUCUUUCAACCACCUGUGAACUUUUGAUAGAUCUGUGAAGUCGUCCUUCAAGUCGUCAGACUUGGUUUGCUGGGAUUUAAACGUCUCGGUGUGACAACGCAGUCUAUUUACUUAACACACCCCAAAUGUAUGUCUACGAAUGUCAUUUAAUGGGCCUUGUGCCUAUAAACCAUAAUACAACUUUCAACAACGGAUCUCUUGGCUCUCGCAUCGAUGAAGAACGCAGCGAAAUGCGAUAAGUAAUGUGAAUUGCAGAAUUCAGUGAAUCAUCGAAUCUUUGAACGCACCUUGCGCCCCUUGGUAUUCCGAGGGGCAUGCCUGUUUGAGUGUCAUUAAAUUCUCAAACUCACAUUUAUUUGUGAUGUUUGGAUUGUUGGGGGUUGCUGGCUGUAACAAGUCGGCUCCUCUUAAAUGCAUUAGCAGGACUUCUCAUUGCCUCUGCGCAUGAUGUGAUAAUUAUCACUCAUCAAUAGCACGCAUGAAUAGAGUCCAGCUCUCUAAUCGUCCGCAAGGACAAUUUGACAAUUUGACCUCAAAUCAGGUAGGACUACCCGCUGAACUUAAGCAUAUCAUAAG